rfam:Canis lupus familiaris chromosome 1, whole genome shotgun sequence.
CGGGGGAGGCCGGAUCCUGGGCUGUGUCCCGGCGCCCUGUGCUCCGGGGCCUGCGCUGUUGGAUUCGCGCUCCCGGGCCGCAGCCCCCU